UUUCCAAAGAAAUUUUGUUUUAACAAAGUCUCAUAAAUUCUUGACCCUUCAUCUCUCAUUUCUCUUCUCUCAAACCCUUGUUUUAUUCUCUUUCUUUUAAUUUUCUUACAUCCUUCCGUAUUUUGGGGGUUCGAAUCUUGUUUGAGAGUGUUUGUUUGAUUAACGGAAAGUGUGAAGAAUGGCGACGACGACCACCAGUGUUGGCGGUGGGGGUGGGGGUGGGGGUGGUGGUGGUGGUGGGGAGGAUAGAGUUAUGGCUACGGCUCAGCAGAUAUUGAAUAGCCUUAAUACGCCUAAGGAUGUUCGAGACGAUAUGCUUUUGAUCUUCUCUAGUUUUGAUAAUCGUCUUUCUAAUAUCACCAGUUUGGUCAAUAGUGGGGAUUCGAAGAAAGAGGAGGAUCGAUUCGAAGCUGCGGAGAAGGUGAUUCUUCGUUGGGAUUCUGGUCAUGGAGCUUCUCGGAACUCGAUUAAUUGGGAGGACUCGCCAGAUGAGGCGGCUGAGUAUUUAACUGCGGUUGAUGAUAUUAUUCAGUGGAUCGACGACUUGUCGAUUCGUUCGGAUUCUGCUGAGAUCGUCGACCGUGCUGAGAACGCGAUCCAGAUCGCUAUGUCGAGGCUUGAGGAUGAGUUUCGUCAUAUGUUGAUUCGGAGCACCGUUCCUCUCGAUGCGGACCAUCUCUACGGUUCAAUUCGUAAGGUUUCCCUCUCUUUUGCUUCACACGACAGCGAAAAUUCCGAUGAAUUUGAGUCGUUUGCUGAUGCUCACCGUGGUUCCGGAAUCUAUCAUGAGCGUGGUGUCAGUUUGGGAGAUGAUUUGCGGGUUGAUUUGAUCCAUCCUGACGCCGUUGUUGAUUUGAAGGAGAUCGCCGACCGGAUGAUUCGGUCUGGAUACGAGAAAGAGUGUGUUAAUGUGUAUACUGGUGUUCGUCGCGAUGCUUUAGAUGAGUGCUUGGUUGUUCUUGGAGUUGAGAAGCUAAGUAUUGAGGAUGUUCAGAAAAUUGACUGGAAAAUCUUAGACGAGAAGAUGAAGAAAUGGAUCCAAGCUGUUAAGGUCAGCGUUCGAGUACUUUUGACGGGGGAGAAGCGACUGUGCGACUAUAUCUUUAGUGGCUCCGAUGAUUCUGAGGAAGUCUGCUUCAAUGAGACUGCCAAAGGGUGCAUCAGACAAUUACUGAAUUUUGCAGAAGCCAUUGCUAUAGGGGAAAGGUCAGUGGAGAAGCUAUUUCGUAUUCUAGAUAUGUAUGAAGCUCUGGAAUACGUUUUCCCAGAAUUGCAGGCUAUGGUCACUGAUGAAUUUGUGAUCGAGGAGGCGCGAGGAGUACUUUCUAGGCUGGGAGAGGCCGCCAAAGGUACAUUUGUUGAAUUUGAGAAUGCUGUUCGGAGUGAAACUUCUAAGAAAACAAUGUUAAAUGCUGAGAUUCACCCGCUCACUCGUUAUGUCAUGAAUUACUUAACAUUGGUUGUGGUUUAUAGUAAGACUCUUGAUGCACUUUUAGAAGGUGACGAUGAGGAUUUGCAUCACCUAGGGGUUGAUGGUGCUGAAAAUUUGGAGUUAGAAACUAUGUCACCUUUAGGUCGUCGUUUGUUUUCAUUGAUAGCAACACUGGAGACCAAUCUAGAGAGAAAAUCCAAACUCUAUGGUGAUGAUUCAAUACAAUAUAUAUUCCUCAUGAACAAUAUACAAUAUAUUGUGCAAAAAGUGAAAGAUUCUGAGCUUGGAAAGCUUUUGGGCGACCGCUGGGUACGGAAGCGCCGAGGCCAGGUUCGCAUAUAUGCAACAAACUAUCUUAGGGCGUCUUGGGGCAAAUUAUUAUCUUUUUUGAAGGAAGAAGGUACUGGUGGGAGCUCCAACAGUGCCCUGAAACUAGCUACUUUGAAGGAAAAAUUCAAAAAUUUCAAUGCUGGCUUUGAGGAAAUCUAUAGAGUUCAGACAGGUUGGAAGGUUCCAGAUGCUCAACUACGAGAAGAGCUCCGAAUUUCAGUGUCCGCAAAAGCUCUACCUGCUUAUCGUGCCUUCUUGGGAAGACAUGGAAGUCAGUUAGAGAAUACAAGACAUGCUGGGAGGUAUAUAAAGUACACAUCAGAUGACUUGGAAGGCUAUCUAUUGGAUUUGUUUGAAGGAUCAUCUUGUGUUAUACAUCACUUACGAAGAAAAAGUAGUUCAUAGAGAGAUACUGAACCGACUCUAUUGACAGGCUAUAAGUAUGAUCCACCUGGUUGAAUCCAAGUACUUCUAUGGCUAACUCUGAGCUUUGGUUUUUGACAAGUUUGGAUGGGGAAACAAUCAAUUUUGAAGGUCUUAUUGGUGGCAAUUUCAUAGUCUUUUAUGGCUUUUAGUUGUUUUAGUAAAUUACCAUCUAUCUGUUGUUUUCUUGUUGAGACUUGAGAGAAACAUCUUCUUCAGCAGCUUAUCUAAAAUGGGAGAUGUUCAUUUCCUCCUUCCCAUAUUCCUGGAUGUUUUAGCCAAUGAACCACACCAACGCAUAUUGUCAAGAGAAAAGAUGUCUGUUCUUAUGGUCUGAGAUGUCUGUUCUUGUAAUGGUAUGAAGAUCCUAUACGUGAUGAUUUGGCUUCACCUUGCAAGACACUUUAAUAUGCCUUUUAAGCCAUCAAAAACUUGCAUCAAGGCUUUAAUCAAAGCUUAGAAAGCUUGAUUUAUCCACUAUUGAUGGCUUAAAUUUGUGGCUAAAUGUGAAUAAUCUCCUCCAUGAUUAAUGGCUUUGUUUGAGGCUCUA